rnacentral:tmRNA from 1 species
GGGGGCGUAAAGGUUUCGACGGGGAAGUUGAUAUACGAUAAGCGAGCAGAGGUUCGGAAGCUCUUUAAAACGCCGAAAUUUUUAAAAUUAAACGCUAACUCUAAUAAAGUAGCUCUCGCUGCCUGACUUACGGCAGCCAUCGCCUCGGGGACGACUGCGACCCCGAACGCGGUGUCACUCAGCAGUGAACGUGAGACGGCUUAAGCUUUGCGGCUGUCCAUGACUUAUGAAGCUACCGACGCGCACCGUUUGUCCGCUGAUGACGCGCGCCGGGAAUUUUAACAACGGACUGCGCUCGGAGAAAGUUGUGUAAAGAUUUUUUCGGACAGGGGUUCGACUCCCCUCGCCUCCACCA